rnacentral:lncRNA from 1 species
UUCUUUGGGCCUCAUAAACAACCACAGAACCACAAGUUGGGUAGCCUGGCAGUGUCAGAAGUCUGAGCCCAGCAUAGUGGUCAGCAGGCAGGACCAAUCACACUGGCUGCAAACCACAGGGUUUCAUAGAACAUCAUCAAGCCACGGCCAAGACGCCGCUCUUUUUUUUUUUUUAAAUCUUUAACAAUUUGAAUAUUUGUCUUCGUGAAGGUAGAAGAAAUCAUUGAAUCCCCCGCCUUCAGAAGAGGGUGCCUUUUCAGGAGGAAGCGAUGGCUUCAGACAGCAUAUUUGAGUCAUUUCCUUCAUACUCACAGUGCUUCAUGAGAGGUGAGUACACUCUGGGCUUUUAAAUCUACUUUUGCUCAGCUUUGCAGAUACUGAAGUGGCAGCCUGUUGGAACUCGGGGCAGAGAGCCCCUGUCUGUUUUGUGGGAGGAAUUCAAACUCGGGCAUAUGAUUACAAGGCUAUUGGAUUACUUAUUCAUCAGAUGGCUGCUUUUCAGAAAUGUUUUAAGAAAUACCGUGUUAAGCUGUUGACGUGUUCCGUCGGUGCGUGAGCGCUUUGUCAAGUUCAAGUGAAUUAGGCUGCUCCCGAUGAAAAGCCUAGAGAUUAUAAAGCCUGCAGGAAGCUCUCUGUGUUUUCUUUGGUUGCCCCUGGCCUGAGAGGACGGUGGCUGAGUUGUCCUGAGUUCGGCGUGCUGUGUGGCCCACACCCCAGCCUGGCCAGAGCUUUAGCGGGGCACAUGCACAGCUGGCCAAGGAGGGCUGGUGCCAGGGUGGUGCGGAGGCGGAGGUAGGCUUCCAGCCCGGGGAAGGAACAGCGGGGACAAAGUUGCAAGUCAGUUGUCUCCAAAAGGCAGAGAGUACAGUAGCCGGACAGGCUGGUCUAGGUUGAAAGCCCCAAGACGGGGCUGUGCUGGGUUACUCCUUGCAACCUCAGUGCAAUGAAGCAGCCGGCAUCUUUCAAGAGAGAAAGCAGAUAAAGCGUACAGAGAUCUCUCUCUCCAAGUGCAAUGAAGGAUUUUCCAAAGUCAAGUGUUUGUGGCUGCCGAAGUCACUAGAUUGCAUGCUUCCUAAAAGAAGUACCUGUCUGCAUUUCUGCAACUGGUCUCUUGAAAUGUGCAAAGCUAUAGUUGAGCUCUAAGUGUGUGAGUACGUGUGGGUGCAUGUGUGUUUUGUGCAUCUUUGGUGGAGAAACAGGGCCGUGCUUAACCAAAUGAAAAUAAUAACAUAGAAAUGUCCCCAAAGCAUUGCAGUGUGUCGAGGCAAGCACUUUGACCGGUGCCUGCAGAGUGUGGCUUGAUGGUUUGGCAGAGUUGAGACAGAGUGGGAUGGAUGGGAUGGGGGGAUAAUUAAUUUUCUGGCUACAAACUCAAGAGCACACCCCAAAUAGUAUCUGUGACUCAUUAUUUAUUCAUACAGCCAAGUGAGCAGAAGAAUGCAGAAGGCAGAGGGCUGCCAGCCACUUUGUCACAACAAACGCUAUUGUGGAUGCCACAGAGCCUCUAUGUUUCCGGGUUUCUUGAAAUUUAAACACUUGGCAAAGAUGUGUGUGUGUGUGUGUGUGUGUGUGUGUGUGUGUGUGUGUGUGUGUGUUGGGGGGUGGUGUUCAGGAGAAGGGGAAGAAAGCAAGUCAUUAACCGAUUCAAAGCUUCAAAUUAAAGGGUUUUCAAGUGCUUCUUUACUGGCAGCUGAGGACAUUUUAGUGAAGUUGAAUCAUGCGAUGCUUAUGAGUCACACAUCCUCAGGGCGCUGGGCUCCCCAGGCAGAAACGCCAGCCACUGGUGAGAAGCUGUGAACGGCUCUCUCUCUCGCUGCAUUUCCUCUGGGCCGCUAACAAGCAAAGGAAGCAAUAUUUGUAGAAUUACAGAAAAAAAAAAAAAGAUCUUCCUGCUUGACUCUUCUUUCAAUACCCACUCCAACUCAGGAAGGCAGAUUCAGGAAAUUUUUGAAACGUUCCACAGGAUGAUAGAUUGGAAUUCCACGUGGGUGCUGGCCUGCCUUCUGUGCUUCCAGAAUGGACAGAGAUAGCAAGGGGACCUAGUGACCCACGUAGACGCCGGGAGAGAAGCAGCCCGGCAGCUAAUCCAGCCCCUGCAGCCACUGCGUAACCUGGACUGUCACUCAUGCCCCCCCACCCCAGGUUAGGAAAUGGGGACAGUUAGCUUUCAAGGGGGGCCAUGUGGAGGGGACUUUAAGACCACCACCCCCCAACCAAUACUCAAAAGGCUCAUAGGAAAUGGGCCUUUCAUGCCUUCCUGUCAGUAAAAAGAGCUCAGGGCCUUUCCUAAUCUCUAACUCAAGAACAUAAUAUUGAGAUUUCAUUGCAGAGAAUAAAAGUGAAAACCUUGGCCAUUUCAUAGCUAACUUGACCAAGGUGAUUCAUCAGUCUGAGAGCUUAUACUAUCCGGGCUAACUGUCCACACCACUCCUCCGAGCUGGAAGGUGCCAAAAUGUCCCGGUUUAGGGGUCCCAUGUGGGCAUCGCCUUAGAGCAUGAUGCCAAAUGGUCUCCUCAAAGUUGGGACCUUUGUUUGCCCAGCCUGGCCAUCAGUGGGACUCAGAACUGUGGUCCUUUCUCACUGCCUGUCAUUUAUAGUGCGUGUCCCCUCCCCAACUGCAGCUCUGAGCGAGCAGGGGAGGAAAAAAAAAAAAAAAAAAAAAAAAAAACACAUCUUGUUGUGUUUUCUUCCUGGGAUGGUACUUUAUCAGUGCAUGCAAUUCUCACAGGAGGAAACCCAUAACUCAUUUUUCGCAAGAUACCCCUGUGGAAGUGGGGGGGGGGGAAGGAGGGGUGGGACCAAGCAAGCCAUUGUUCCCUUCUGUGUGACAGGCAAGCGAGAGUCUGAGAGCCUAGCAUGCAAAACAAAUGCGGUCUACCACAGAGAAGGCCGUUCUUUUUCUAUCCCACUGCACUGGGUCUCUCUGAAUGCGCUUAGGCAAGAAGAUAAGGCGUGGUUGUAAUUCCCUGCAAUGAACCCACGUGGCUCACAGCAUGGAGUCCUUCCAGAACCUGAACUUGGGUCCCCUGGCCCGGGUUUGACGUGUGGGCCCUCAGGGCUGCAGCACACAGGGGGAGGAAGGACUCGGGCAAGUAUGCAUUUUUGCAAAAUACCUCAGGUAGCCUUGCCCUUAGAAGUGGCUUAGUGGGCUAUGCAAAGCCUGAAUUCUAAUAUGCCUCCGAGUUCCUAGAACCACAGGUAAAAAAUCUCGGUGAGGCUGACUCGCCGCUGUGUUCUCGAGGCUUCUCUCUGAAGGAAUGGCAGCAGCCGAGGCUGACUGUGUGGGGCCUGCAUCUCUGUGAACCGCUGUUUGCCACUAUUUUUGGAGAAAUAUUUACAAAGACACUUCUGAUGCGGCAGGAGAUUUGAGAUCACAGAGAGCCGUCGACAUAACGCAGUAUCAGACACCGUGUGAAAUCUGUUAUUAUUUGGCUGGGGUUGCCCUCGCCAAGGACCACGGACUGAGUGGCUUAAACCACAGAAGUGUAGCGUCUCAUGAUUCUGGGGGCCAGAGAUCGAGUGGCGAGACCUGGCAUGGCUUUAUUUUUUGUGAAGGCUUUGAGGUAUCAGGAGGUUGGUGUCUUCUGAGGCCUCUCUCUCUCUUUUGCUUGUGGACGGCUGUCCUUACCCUGUAUCUUCACAUGGGCUUCCCUUUGUCCACGCACCCCCUCUGCCCUUCUAAGGACACCAGGCAUAUUGCAGUCAGGCCUGCCCUAAUGACCUCAUGUAAUCUUAAUUAUCUCUGUAGAGACCCAAUCUCCAAACGCAGUCACAUUUUGCUGGACUAGGAGUUAGGAAUAGAGGAAUCUGAGGGGGACCCUCAUAUUAACAUAAGAAUUUGAGGAGGACCCAGGUCAGUCCAGAAGAGUGUAUCCUGGCAACCCUGACUCCCUCUGACCUAAGAGAAAGCCAUACUUUUCCUAAGUGCCCUCCUGGAUGUGGAAAGAUCAAACCCCAGUUCCCUCGUGUCAGGUGGCGCUUUACAUUCUGAAACUGCCCACACAUUUUGAAACUGAAGGGGGGCGGGAAAAUGUGUUCAAAUCUAUCUAGACUCACAAUCCUCCCCUUUGCCAUUUAGCCUCUUUGCAUGCUAAGAAACCUUUGAAAAUGACAAGGCAAGUUUGAAAUGUUUCAGCUUUAAAAGAGCAAAGAGCAGUGCCCCAAAGAUGCCACCUCCUGGGCUCUGCUUCCUCCGAGGGACUGUCCCUGAGAUCCCAAACCUCCCAAGACACAGGCCUCCAGUGGCGGCAGUGGGGCAGGGGGAGGACAGGUCGUGGGAGGCCCCACACCUGUUCAUACUCUAAGGGAAGGCACAGUGAGCCUCUGGGAGUAGAAGCAACUUCAGAAGUGGCGGCUGAGCCAGGAUCUAACCUGCCAGAAGCCUGGGAGAGCUUUGGGCAAGCAAGUUUGCAGCCAGGAGAUUUCUCUCUUCUCUGGAAAUACCUGCCCCUUCACUGAGGAAGCAAGUGACAUUGGGGCCGAGGGAGGCCAUUGCACAGAGAAGGGCUUGGGGGAGGGUGUCAGUCUUGAGGACAGAGUCCAAGAAUUUGUAAGAACAGCCAGGACCAGAAAAGAGAAGGGGCGGGGGCUACACGGGGAGCACACACAGACUCAGUACAGUGAUGCUCUUUUUUCUCUCAGUCUGUUUUUCUGGCUUUAGCCAAAUAAUACAAAGCAGCUUCUCUCUUGAGCCUCAGUUUCCUCAUCUAUGAAACAAGGAUGGUAGUAGGACCUACAGUUAAAGUAGCUGCGUAGACUAAAUUAAAUAAUGCACGCAGUACAGUCAUAAAAAAUGGGCAGUUAAUGUCAGCCGUGGCUAUUGAUGUUCAAUUUUCUUUUAAAAAAAUUCUUUUAGGAGUUCCCAUCAUGGCGUAGCAGAACUGAAUCCAACUAGGAACCAUGAGGUUGCGGGUUAAAUCCCUGGCCUUGCUCAGUGGGUUAAGGAUCCGGCGUUGCCGUGAGCUGUGGUGUAGGUCGCAGACAUGGCUCAGAUCCUGCGUUACUGUGGCUCUGGCAUAGGCUGGAGGCUACAGCUCUGUUAGACUCCUAGCCUGGGAACCUCCACAUGCCGCGGGUGUGACACUAAAAAGACAAAAAGACAAAAAAAAAAAUUUUUUUUAAUUGAUUUACAAUGUUUUGUUACUUUCUGCUGUACAACAAAGUGAUCCAGUUUUACAUACAUACACAUUGUUUUUCUCACAGUAUCUUCCAUCAUGUUCCAUCACAAGUAAUUGGAUAUAGUUCCCUCAUGCAGGACCUCAUUGCUUAUCCACGCCAAAUGCAAUAGUUUGCAUCCACUAACCUCAAACUCCCUGUCCCUCCCCCUCGGCAACUACAAGUCUGUUGUCUUUGUCCAUGAGUUUGUUUCUGUUCUGUAGAUAGGUUCAUUUGUGCCAUAUUUUAGAUUUCACAUAUAAGUGAUAUAUAUUUUUUUUGUCUUUCUUUUUCUGACUUAUUUCACCUAAGUCAUGAGAAUCUCUAGUUCCAUCCAUGUUGCUGCAAAUGGCACUAUUUUGUUCUUUUUUAGGGCCGAGUAGUAUUCCAUUGCAUAUAGGUACCACAUGUUCAUUUUUCUAAGCUGAUGCUCCAUCAGGCUGUCUAUCCUCAGAAAGGAGAGGUGGCAACACGCUGGAGGACCCUGGAAGAGACUCGCUGGAGACAGAGACCCAGGCGUUGAGGAGGAGGGUGGUGUGGAGGGUGAGAACCAAGAGGAGAGGGAAGGGGCAGCCAGGUGGGGGUCGAGCCUGGGCAAAGUCAGGGUGGCAGGGCCCCAGUGGGAUGUGGGAGGUGAUGAGCCCCCUCUUCAACCUCAUGUCACCCUUGCUCUACUUGCAAGGACCCAUGAAGAGGACAGACAAGAGAGGGCCCUUUAUGUAACCCCACAAGCUUAGCUUGCAACAUCGAGGCCAAAACGGAGGCCUGCGGUAGCAGGAAUACUGACAAGUUUCUCCUCCCUGAGAGCCUGGUGUUGCUUGACUCUCCUAAAGCCCCUUCUUAAUGGAAAUGCCCUCCACCUGGUGGCCCUCCGCAGGCUCCUCGGCUCUGGGCAUUUCUGACCAAGCAUUUGUCACAGCAGUGAAGACACCUCAGUUGCUGGUUGGUCGUGUUGGGGGUGGGAGUAGAGGCUGCACAGGAAACUCAAGCAAAUUUUUCAGUUUCUCAGGUGACUUCCUAGUGACCUAGAUGAGUCAUUAGGUGUCUCUGCGUCUCCUUUGGGUUCUGCAAAAGGGGCCGGUAAUAUUCUAGAGCGCUUACCGCCAAAGGACAGAGUUCCUGCCUGACAUCUUUGAACGCGUCAGAGAGAGGGACCCUGAAACAAGUCACAAAUGGUCUCGGUUUGACAACAUGAAGCGACUAGGUUUUAAAAUUAUUUCCCUUCUGGUUAAAAUUGUUAACAUAGCUGUUUUUUGUUUUGAAAAUGAAUUAUUUUCUGGUAGGAAAUAGGGGUCCUACCCUUUCACACAUGGCAGGCAUUUUCCCAUAUUCUCUCAAAAGAAAACUUUUUUUUCCAACGCCCAUUCUUCAGAGAACUCUCCAGAAGCUGCUCUGGUACCUGAACCUAUCUUAAUAUCGGCAACACACUUUUUCUGAAAUGCUUGUUCCUGAAGUUCCCCUGUCCCUUCUCCUUGGGGCUGCCAAUCCCCUGCUUCAGCCUAUUUUCUGAGUAAAACAAACCUCAAGCAAUGUGUCUUUCUUGACCCUUCCCCACUCCCACGCCUCCAAAGUAUGCUGUCCCACCCAGGUAGAAAGGGGACAUUUCCUAUAAGACCUUUGCAGACUGUGAAUAAAGUCAGAAGGUGCUUUCAGGGAACAACAGUUGGUUCCUGAACUAUUUGGAGUUCCUGUCCUGGCUCAGUGGUAACGAACUGGCGUAGUAUCCGUGAGGAUGCAGGUUCAAUCCCUGGCCUCGCUCAGUGGGUUAAGGAUCCAGUAUUGCCGUGAGCUGUGGUGUAGGUCGCAGGAGCAACUGGAUCUGGCAUUGCAGUGGCUGUGGUGUAGGCUGGCAGCUACAGGUCCAAUUUGACCCCUAGCCUGGGAACCUCCAAAUGCCAUGGUUGAGGCCCUCAAAAGACAAGAUAAAUACAUAAAUAACUUUUGACACACUGGAAGAGUAAGCUGGACACCCCCCUGGAUGGCACAGACUUCCCUCUUCAUGCACAAACAUCCUUUUAACUUCCUGAAUCUUUCCCUUCCCCUCUGUUCUCCCGAUAACACUGAAUGAUGCCAGAGAAAGAAAGAAGGAACUCAGGUGGGAAAAUAAACCCUGCAUCCCAAAGGCGACUGAAAUGAUGCAUAUCCUUACAGCGACAUUAAGAGCAGAAAGCUCUGGGGAGUUCCCGUAGUGGCUCAGUGGUAAAGAACCCCCAACAGGUAUCCGUGGGGACACCAGAGUUCGCCACUGAGCAAGGCCUGUGCUCCAUCUUUGGCCUUGCUCAGUGGGUUAAGGAUCCAGCGUUGCCUUGAGCUGUGCUGUAGGCUGAAGACGUGGUUGAGAUCCAGCAAGGCUGUGGCUGUGGCGUAGGCCAGCAGCUGCAGUUCCAAUUGAGCCCUAGCCUGGGAACUUCCAUCUGCUGCUGGCCUGGCCUUAACAAGACGAAAAAAAAAUAAAUAAAUAAAAGGAGAAAGCUCUGGCCAGGCUUUACCGGUGAGAGCUGUGUUUGGCUGUACAGUACGGGAGAUCUAACUGCAGUGGCUCAAGCAGCCGGGCGUUGGGCCAGCGCUUGCGAGGGGUAGUUCUGGAGUGAGUGGGCCAGGACUCGUAUUAAGGGGCCGGGAGGCUCCUGUGUUCGGGUUCCACCCUGAGGCGGCCCACCCUUCAGGUCUGUCCAGGCAGGAAGCAGAUGGGAGGGGCCUCCAACCCUUCUCCUUGUGGGGCUCCAUCUUUCUAUUCAGGAAAGGAAGCCCCUUUCUGCAAACUCCCCCUUAUGGGUCUCGUGUGCCAGAACCAUUCUCACCUGGCUGGAAGGUGCACUGGACAGUGGACUUUUCCUUGUCAGCCUGCAGAGGGGAAGGUGGUUGGCAAUGAAUGGCCAUCCGGGGAGCCCAGAGCCGCAUCUGCCAUGGCAGACUGUCCCCAGGCAGAUACCCCGGUCUUUCCGGGGGACGCCUUGUCUCCUAUGUUCCCUGUGUCACCAGUGCUUUGAAAAUACAUGAGUUCUUCCUUUAGUCCUUCUUGGAAGUUGUAAGUGGAUUCUGGGUGUUGUGGGUGUGAUAAUUUUUCUUUUUCUUUCUUCGCUUUAUAAUGAAGGCCCCUUCAAGUAAAGUUCUCGUAAUUUUUUUAAUUGAAGUAUAGCUGAUUUACAAUGUUGGAUGUUAGUUCCAGGUGUACAACAGAUGUGUUUAUACUCUUUUUCAGUUUCUUUUUCAUUAUAGGGUAUUACAAGGGGUUGACUGUAUGUCCCUGUCCUGUACGGCAGGUCCUCGUUGUUGAUCUGUUUUAUAUCCAGUAGUAUGAAUCUGUUAACCCCAAGCUCCUACUUUACCCCUUCCCGUAUGCUUUAUUCUUUUUUCAUUUUUUAAAGUUUUACUGGCGUCUGGUUGAUUUACAAGGUGGUGAUCAUUGCUGCUGUACAGCAAAGAGAGUCAGUCAUACACGUACACACAUCCAUUCUUGUGCAGAAUCUCUUCCCCCGUAGGUGAUCACAGCAUCCUGGGUAGAGGUCUCUGUGCUAUACAGCAAGUCCCCAUUGGCCAGUCAUUCCAUACACCACCAUGUGCAUGUGCCAUGCCCUCCUCCCUCCCUCCCCCGACCUGUCCCCUUUGGUAACCGUAAGUUUGUUUGUUUCCAAAGUCUGCCUACCCUUUAUGCUUGAUUUUCUGAAAGCAAAACAGGGAGGAGAUGGGAUGGGGCAGGGCAGGGGGCUGGUUAAAGGGGAGUCGGGGUCACAUCUAUUUUCACGAUCAAAACUCAGAAGCACACUUACCUCUCAUAGUGUUAGAAAAGAAAAACAGCCAGCUUUGUAUGGAUGGGAGUGUUGCUUGUAUCAAAGCCACUGCACUUGGCCCUGGGGUUGAUGGAUCUCUUUGUAACUGGAAAUAGUUUCCUUUUUGCUCUUCCUCACUCCUUUGAAUUCUCAAAACCCCACGGCCCAACAGCCCUACAUCUUUUUCAAAAGAGAAUUCUUUUCUACAAAAUUUCUUGAGGGAAAUUUUCUUUCAAGUCACCCUCCUUAAAUUUACCUAAAGAUGUUUCUAUCUUUGAUGGAAAUACGACCACCAGAUAAUACUCCUCUAUCUAGGAGAGAGAGCACUUAUUCAUACCUUAUAGUCCUGCAAGUUACAGAUUACUUUUGCUUUGUAAUUACUGGCCCUAUCUGCUUCUUGAGUCUAGAUACAAAUCUACCUCCCUAGAAGCCAAUGCCUUAAAAAAAAAAAAAAAAAAAAAAAAAAAAAAGU